GUUAAAGAUUGGUUAUGUGCAUUGACUGGUUUGCAUGUGUGAAAUUCAGGUAGAAUGCUCUGUGAUUUGAAUGCUUCCUUGUGUGACAGUUAUAUAUUUUGUUGUCUUUAUGAAUUAUUUGUGGGUUUUUUUAUACUGUUUUAAAUACCUCACAAUAAGUUAAAAGUUUCACUGUUGAAGGUUGGUCCCAAUUUAAAAAUAAAGAGAUGAUCCAGAUCCUUUUGGAACAGUGUCUAAGGGCCAGAUUCUAAGGACCUGUUACAUGGCUGCACUGCUCCAUGGUGUUUGGAAUCAGUUAAAGCAGG